rnacentral:rRNA from 1 species
AGUGAACGCUGGCGGUAGGCCUAACACAUGCAAGUCGAACGGCAGCACAGUAAGAGCUUGCUCUUAUGGGUGGCGAGUGGCGGACGGGUGAGGAAUACAUCGGAAUCUACCUUUUCGUGGGGGAUAACGUAGGGAAACUUACGCUAAUACCGCAUACGACCUUCGGGUGAAAGCAGGGGACCUUCGGGCCUUGCGCGGAUAGAUGAGCCGAUGUCGGAUUAGCUAGUUGGCGGGGUAAAGGCCCACCAAGGCGACGAUCCGUAGCUGGUCUGAGAGGAUGAUCAGCCACACUGGAACUGAGACACGGUCCAGACUCCUACGGGAGGCAGCAGUGGGGAAUAUUGGACAAUGGGCGCAAGCCUGAUCCAGCCAUACCGCGUGGGUGAAGAAGGCCUUCGGGUUGUAAAGCCCUUUUGUUGGGAAAGAAAAGCAGUCGAUUAAUACUCGGUUGUUCUGACGGUACCCAAAG